CGAGAGGCUGGCGCGGGCGAGCGCUUCGCCAACCCGGUCAGGUCCGGAAGGAAGCAGCCGUAACGAUUUCCGCUUGGGUCGCUGUCCAGUCUCUCACCU
rnacentral:SRP_RNA from 1 species